rnacentral:rRNA from 1 species
UACGUAGGGCGCAAGCGUUGUCCGGAAUUAUUGGGCGUAAAGAGCUCGUAGGCGGCUUGUCGCGUCGGCCGUGAAAACUUGGGGCUUAACCCCAAGCCUGCGGUCGAUACGGGCAGACUUGAGUUCGGCAGGGGAGACUGGAAUCCUGGUGUAGCGGUGAAAUGCGCAGAUAUCAGGAGGAACACCGGUGGCGAAGGCAGAUCUCUGGGCCGUAACUGACGCUGAGGAGCGAAAGCGUGGGGAGCGAACAGG